rnacentral:rRNA from 1 species
UACAGAGGGUGCGAGCGUUAAUCGGAAUUACUGGGCGUAAAGCGCGCGUAGGCGGUUUUGUAAGUCGGGUGUGAAAUCCCCAAGCUUAACUUGGGAACUGCAUUCGAGACUGCAUAGCUAGAGUAUGGGAGAGGGAAGUGGAAUUUCAGGUGUAGCGGUGAAAUGCGUAGAUAUCUGGAGGAACACCGAUGGCGAAGGCAGGUCUCUGGGCCACUACUGACGCUGAGAAGCGAAAGCAUGGGGAGCGAACAGG